CCUACGGGUGGCAGCAGUGGGGAAUAUUGCACAAUGGGGGAAACCCUGAUGCAGCAACGCCGCGUGGGUGAAGAAGUAUUUCGGUAUGUAAAGCCCUAUCAGCAGGGAAGAGAAUGACGGUACCUGACUAAGAAGCCCCGGCUAACUACGUGCCAGCAGCCGCGGUAAUACGUAGGGGGCAAGCGUUAUCCGGAUUUACUGGGUGUAAAGGGAGCGUAGACGGUUGUGCAAGUCUGAAGUGAAAGCCCGGGGCUCAACUCCGGGACUGCUUUUGAAACUGUGUUACUAGAUUGCAGGAGAGGUAAGUGGAAUUCCUAGUGUAGCGGUGAAAUGCGUAGAUAUUAGGAGGAACACCAGUGGCGAAGGCGGCUUACUGGACUGUAAAUGACGCUGAGGCUCGAAAGCGUGGGGAGCAAACAGGAUUAGAUACCCGUGUAGUC
rnacentral:rRNA from 1 species